CGGACGGGUGAGUAAUGCUUGGGAAUCUGGCUUAUGGAGGGGGAUAACUACGGGAAACUGUAGCUAAUACCGCGUAGUAUCGGAAGAUGAAAGUGUGGGACCGCAAGGCCACAUGCCAUAAGAUGAGCCCAAGUGGGAUUAGGUAGUUGGUUGGGUAAAGGCUGACCAAGCCGACGAUCUCUAGCUGGUCUGAGAGGAUGACCAGCCACACUGGAACUGAGACACGGUCCAGACUCCUACGGGAGGCAGCAGUGGGGAAUAUUGCACAAUGGGGGGAACCCUGAUGCAGCCAUGCCGCGUGAAUGAAGAAGGCCUUCGGGUUGUAAAGUUCUUUCGGUGAUGAGGAAGGUGCUUGUUUUAAUAGAACAAGCAAUUGACGUUAGUCACAGAAGAAGCACCGGCUAACUCCGUGCCAGCAGCCGCGGUAAUACGGAGGGUGCGAGCGUUAAUCGGAAUAACUGGGCGUAAAGGGCACGCAGGCGGUGACUUAAGUGAGAUGUGAAAGCCCCGAGCUUAACUUGGGAAUUGCAUUUCAUACUGGGUCGCUAGAGUACUUUAGGGAGGGGUAGAAUUCCACGUGUAGCGGUGAAAUGCGUAGAGAUGUGGAGGAAUACCGAAGGCGAAGGCAGCCCCUUGGGAAUGUACUGACGCUCAUGUGCGAAAGCGUGGGGAGCAAACAGGAUUAGAUACCCUGGUAGUCCACGCUGUAAACGCUGUCGAUUUGGGGAUUGGGCUUUGAGCUUGGUGCCCGUAGCUAACGUGAUAAAUCGACCGCCUGGGGAG
rnacentral:rRNA from 1 species